GCGGAUUAGCGGAUUUGCGCGGUCUGCCAUGAUAGGUUGGGCAUUUGUGCGUGCGCUCUCCAGGCAGAAAGGAGGCCCAGUUUGUGGUUAGAAGUAAACCUGCGGCGAAUGGUACACCAAUUGAGGUGUGACCUGUAUAUCCUGUCGGACAUGUACAGACAUAGAAGCCAGGGUGGUUUUCACACUUUCCUCCAUGUUGACAUGGGUUGGAGUUACACUCAUCAAUCUCUGAAUUAGAACCAGAAUUACAAGCAUUGAAUGAAAAUUGGGGUGAUGACAAUCAAGUAACUCCCACAUGAUCUAAACCUGGAGGUGUGAGAUAUCUAUCUUGUUGGAGGUGGAUUCUGAUGGC